rnacentral:rRNA from 1 species
AGAGUUUGAUCCUGGCUCAGGACGAACGCUGGCGGCGUGCUUAACACAUGCAAGUCGAACGAUGAACCACUUCGGUGGGGAUUAGUGGCGAACGGGUGAGUAACACGUGGGCAAUCUGCCCUUCACUCUGGGACAAGCCCUGGAAACGGGGUCUAAUACCGGAUACUGACCCUCGCAGGCAUCUGCGAGGUUCGAAAGCUCCGGCGGUGAAGGAUGAGCCCGCGGCCUAUCAGCUUGUUGGUGAGGUAAUGGCUCACCAAGGCGACGACGGGUAGCCGGCCUGAGAGGGCGACCGGCCACACUGGGACUGAGACACGGCCCAGACUCCUACGGGAGGCAGCAGUGGGGAAUAUUGCACAAUGGGCGAAAGCCUGAUGCAGCGACGCCGCGUGAGGGAUGACGGCCUUCGGGUUGUAAACCUCUUUCAGCAGGGAAGAAGCGAAAGUGACGGUACCUGCAGAAGAAGCGCCGGCUAACUACGUGCCAGCAGCCGCGGUAAUACGUAGGGCGCAAGCGUUGUCCGGAAUUAUUGGGCGUAAAGAGCUCGUAGGCGGCUUGUCACGUCGGUUGUGAAAGCCCGGGGCUUAACCCCGGGUCUGCAGUCGAUACGGGCAGGCUAGAGUUCGGUAGGGGAGAUCGGAAUUCCUGGUGUAGCGGUGAAAUGCGCAGAUAUCAGGAGGAACACCGGUGGCGAAGGCGGAUCUCUGGGCCGAUACUGACGCUGAGGAGCGAAAGCGUGGGGAGCGAACAGGAUUAGAUACCCUGGUAGUCCACGCCGUAAACGGUGGGCACUAGGUGUGGGCAACAUUCCACGUUGUCCGUGCCGCAGCUAACGCAUUAAGUGCCCCGCCUGGGGAGUACGGCCGCAAGGCUAAAACUCAAAGGAAUUGACGG